AAGGUUUCCGUUUCAAUGUUAAUCAGAGACGGGUUAAUCGGUCCUAAGGUCAGUCCGCCGCAAGGCGGGGUAGCCGAUGGAUAACAGGUUAAAAUUCCUGUAUUUGUUUAUGUUUGACAAGUUGAAACUCAAUUUAUUGAGUGUAGAGCCUAUAAGGGGGGACAAAGUGGAAUUUUCUAUUUUCAGGAAAAUCCCCGUGUAGGAAGCAUAAAUAAACCGUACCACAAACCGACACAGGUGGGCGAGUUGAGUAUACAAAGGCGAUCGGGAUAACUAUCCUUAAGGAACUCGGCAACGAAAGCUGGACGUAAGCUAUGCGAGAUGUCCUGUCCUGAGAGAAAUCGAAGGAUUACAACAAAAGACGCUGAGCGACUGUUUAACAAAAACACAGGUCCCUGCUAAUCCGAAAGGAGAUGUAUAGGGGCUGAUACCUGCCCAGUGCCAGUAAUUUACUGUCUCAAGUGACUCCCUCCGCAAGGUCGGGAUGAGCCUGGGGCCUAAGAUCUGGUGAACGGCAGCAGUAACUAUAACUGUUCCAUGGUAGCGAAGUUCCUUGUCUGGUGAGUUCAGACCCGCACGAAAGGUAAAACGACUUAGCGACUGUCUUGAGGAUAGACCCGGCGAAAUUGCAAUGGCUGUGAAGAUGCGGCCUUCCCAUACUUGGACAAAAAGACCCCGUGGAGCUUGUAGCGUAGGAGGGAGCUUCGGCAACAAUGAAACACCUCUCUUUUUUGAAUUUAAAUCUAACCAUAACCCUUAUAAAAACAGGGCAUGGAACAAGGUCUGGCGGGCAGUUUGACUGGGGCGGUCCCCUCCAAAAAAGUAACGGAGGGGUACAAAGGUACACUUAAGCCGUAAGGAAAUCGGCUGUUAAGCGUAAAGGUAUAAAGUGUGCUUGAUAGCAAGACUUACAAGUCGAGCUAGUGCGAAAGCAGGUCUUAAUGAUCCCCCGCCACCUCGAGGGAGGGGUGGGGCUUAUCGGAUAAAAGCUACCCCGGGGAUACAUGUGUGUUCCAAACAGGCUAGUCUUGCCCUACAGUCCACAAGGACGGCAAGGUUCGGCACCUCGAUGUCGGCUCAUCACAGCGCGGGGCUGAAGCAGGUCCCAAGCGUCUGGCUGUUCGCCAGUUAAAGUGGUACGCGAGCUGGGUUCAGAGCGUCGUAAGACAGCUCGGACUCUAUCCAGUAUGGGCGUUUUGAUACUUGAGGGGAGUUAUUUCUAGUACGAGAGGACCGAAAUGAGGGAACCUCUAGUGUGCCUGUUGUAUGUUGAAUGCAACGCAGGGUAGCUACGUUCCUAACUGAUAAGCGCUGAAAGCAUCUAAGCACGAAGCAGGCCCUAAGAUGAGGUAUCUUUUAAGACCCCCCGUAGACUACGGGGUUAAUAGGUUGGCGGUGUAAGCACUGUAAGGUGUUUAGCCUACCAAUACUAAUGGUC
rnacentral:rRNA from 1 species